AGAAAUGGAAGGAAGAUACGAAACAAGAGCGUGCUGUUCUCCUACCAGACUCAUGAAUGGCCACGGUGAAAGUGCAGGUGAAAAAUGUGGAGCGUUGUGAGAUAAUACAGCCAUGGACGCCAAACGUGACGCAUCUUCUUGUCAGACACCACAGCAGUUGCCGCUUGCCGCUCUCGUCCAGCCCUACAAUGCGUUGCCAAUCCAUAAUCAGCUCUUUCUGCGCGAUGGUGAUGGUCAGGAUUGGCCCUUAUAUCUCAAGUUAUAGUUGAGGCCAGUCACAAUAUCAGAAAAGAGAAUGGGAUUUAGACUGUGGGUCUACAGUUCAAAUGAUUACCCCAAAAUCCUUUCUUGUGGAAUGGAAAUACAUGACAGCUUACAAGACUGGUGUAAGGAACCAAGUGUCAUUGGCAUGUUGGAGAUGAUUAACAAAGGAUAGGGUAACAAUACAUUAUUUGUCAAUCCAGCACACAUUUAGACAAUGCCAACAACUUUCAAGUCAUUCAUCAUUCAACUUGGCAGCAGCCUCAACAUCAGCCAGAUUCUACCUGAGGUGUCCUAUCACUGCUGGCCUGGUUGUGACACACCAAUGAGUUCAAGAUGCGUGUUGUUUUAUGAUGCAAGACCAAACAUGCUCAUUCAAGAUUAUGCUAUGUAAGAGGUGUAACCUGUACCCAUACUCUGAAAUACUUAGGAUUUUCAUAAGGAUUAUUUCCACCAGAUGAUUAGCUUGGUUCUCAUUAAUAUUUUCUUCAUUGAUGAUGAAACUAAGAAUAUUUUCUUCAUUGAUGAUGAAACUAAGAAUAUUUUCUUCAUUGAUGAUGAAACUAAGAUUAUAAAUUUUAUAUAUAGUCACAGCAAUUAAAAUGUAGAGAGAGAGAGAGAGAGAGAGAGAGAGAGAGAGAGAGAGAGAGAGAGAGAGAGAGAGAGAGAGAGAGAGAGAGAGAGACUCACUUCCCCUUCCCUUCCAGCAGCAGUAUGUGCCCUAAAUGACUUGCAUGGCCAGCCCAAGGGAUCAGUUAAGGAUUGGGUACAGAUGCUCCAUUACUGUCACAUAUGCAUCCUGAACUACCUUACAAACAGCAUACCAAUUGGGUGUAACAAGGCUCUGCACAGGAGAGCAUGCAAAUUCAUGACAAGGAUAGCAAGAUGGGGAGCCUGUCAUAAGAGGGAAUUUAUCAUCUCUAUUUACUAACCCUAAAAAGUGGUGGAGCUUGGUGAGAGGCAAGGCAUCAUUUCCUUCAACUGCAUACAUCUAUUGUGUAUGACCUGCAGGGAGCUUGCCACCAGCCAAGCAAAAACCAACUUCACUCCUGCCUUCUCCCAGAAGAUUAAGAUCUGGUAAACAGGAGACAUUAAAGAUGUGCAGAGGUGCUAAUAUUUUUUUCUGGUGCUUCCUGUAGUUGUCAUAAUGAAAGGAGGUGCAGGUUACAUUAAUGCACAAAAUCCAUAAAAGAUCAGAGCCUGACAACUACUGACCAGUCUCCUUUCCCUCAACUGUUGGCAAGAUCUUCAAGAUGAUCACUGGAGAGCAGCUAAUGAGUAGCACCAAGGCAGUUGGGCUUCACAAAAGGAUCACCACCACCACCUCUUCCAGUGGGAAUGUACAAUCAGUAUGCCAAAUGACUUCAGAACUGCCAAUGUGAGUCACAUUGCACAAACUGGCAACUUGCUUCGACUUGGUCUGAAAAAAUCAGCUGUGAGAAAAUACCUACAUGGCAAAAUAGGGUGGUAGUCCCUUGUGUUUUUUUCAAAGCACAGAAUAAUGGAUUCAAUUUGACACAAGGAACUCCUGUAAUUAUUAUUUGUGACUGCUCCUUGCUUCAGCUAACAAAAGGGUCUUUUUUUUAAGCUUAAGAUUCUACAGGGUGUGUAAUGCAAGUUUUGCAAAUUCUGAGAGGUGAAAGAAUGUGUAAUUCUAAGUAGAAAAUGUUCUAUACACACUUGCAUUUUAAGGCUUUGUUUACCUGUCAGAGGAGCUGAAAAUGUAUGGGAUUUGCGAGUGUGCUAUGCAUAUAGCUAUGAGGUGACCAACAGACGGUUGCAUUGUCACAGUCAUGGAGAUGCCACUUGGUCAAAUUGUGAAUGGUUUAAUCUUAUUUUUUGCAAGCUGUGGAAUAUUACAGUAUCUUAUAACAAGACAAACAGUAUUAAAAAGCAUGUAAUGUACCAAUAAGCAUUACACAAUAAUAUUAUUGUAGUAAUUAAAAGUACUCCUUAAAAAUGUUACGUGGCAUCAUUGAAGCGAGGGAGGAGGAGGAAGCGAGUCCAGUUUGCAGAUUGCUACAAAGCGAAACAAGUCCACUUAAAUUUCCUGGUGGGAAAAUGACACAAACUGACUGCGACUGACAUGUCAUUGUCAGUUUGUCACUCACUCCCCCCUCCUCCCUCGCUUCAAUGAUGCCACAUAACAUUUUUAAGGAGUACUUUUAAUCACCACAAUAAUAUUAUUGUGUAAUGCUUAUUGGUAAAUUACAUGCUUUUUAACAGCAUUUAUCUUGUUAUAAGAUAUUGCAAUAUUCUACAGCUUGCAAAAAAUAAGAUUAAACCAUUCACAAUUUGACCAAGUGGUACCUCUGAGGCUGCAACAAUGCAACCGUCUGUCUGUUACUUCACUAGCUACAUGCAUAGCACACCUGAGAGUCCCAUACACUUUAAAACUCCUCUGACAGGAAAAGAUUAAAAUGCACAUGUGCAUAGAACGCAUUUUCUACUAAGAAUUACACGUUCUUUCACUUUCAGUAUUUGCAGAAAUUCGUGUUACACACUGAAUAGAGUUGCUGUGUGCCCAGAAAAUAUACAGACUGUGAUUACAUAGUACGAGUGUUAGUUUCCAAGAAUGACGAAGCAAUUUGAAAAAAUAAGCUGUAUGACUAUUAUUAGUGAAAAAAAGAUGGGAGGAUGUGCCUCACAACAGGCAUGAUAUCCCACCUCAAGAUUUUUUUAUUGUUUUACUGUAAGUCUCUUGAUACCAUUGAAGAUGUUAAAUGUUAUCAUUGGAGUGUGUGGGAUAUGGUGCGAGUUGGCAUCUGCAAGAUUGGUUUGGUUUCAUGUGCUUGCCAGCAAGUGAUGUGCUUUGAGGUGUACCUUGUGACUCCACAAUAACCUCAUCCAUGUUUCUUCCUUGCCUGGAGACCCUACAGGGGGUCAUCAGUGCUCACCACCUGGGGCAUGGUGAGUACUUGCAGAUUUUACAGCAGCUGGAGUUGAGCCAUUGUCAAUUUUAAAUGGUGGGUGGCAACUUUAUCUGCUGACACUGUACUCUAGGCUUUCUUUUAGUGGGACAUUCUGCAGGCUGUGAUAGGUGAGAGAAUGAGAGAAUAUGGUUAAAGUAGGAAGGUUAAAAUUAAGUUUCAAUUAAAAUACUAAUAAAUAUAUAUA